rnacentral:rRNA from 1 species
GCAUAUCAAUAAGCGGAGGAAAAGAAACCAACCGGGAUUGCCUCAGAUAACGGCGAGUGAAGCGGCAAGAGCUCAAAUUUGAAAGCUGGCCCCUCCGGGGUCCGCGUUGUAAUUUGCAGAGGAUGCUUUGGGUGCGGCCCCCGUCUAAGUGCCCUGGAACGGGCCGUCAGAGAGGGUGAGAAUCCCGUCUUGGGCGGGGUGUCCGUGCCCGUGUAAAGCUCCUUCGACGAGUCGAGUUGUUUGGGAAUGCAGCUCUAAAUGGGUGGUAAAUUUCAUCUAAAGCUAAAUACUGGCCGGAGACCGAUAGCGCACAAGUAGAGUGAUCGAAAGAUGAAAAGCACUUUGAAAAGAGAGUUAAACAGCACGUGAAAUUGUUGAAAGGGAAGCGCUUGCGACCAGACUCGCCCUCGGGGUUCAGCCGGCACUCGUGCCGGUGUACUUCCCCGGGGGCGGGCCAGCGUCAGCUUGGGCGGCCGGUCAAAGGCCUCCGGAAUGUAGUGCCCCCCGGGGCACCUUAUAGCCGGAGGUGCAAUGCGGCCAGCCUGGGCUGAGGAACGCGCUUCGGCACGGACGCUGGCAUAAUGGUCGCAAACGACCCGUCUUGAAACACGGACCAAGGAGUCUAACAUCUACGCGAGUGUUCGGGUGUCAAACCCGUACGCGCAGUGAAAGCAAACGGAGGUGGGAGCCCCCUCGCGGGGCGCACCAUCGACCGAUCCUGAUGUCUUCGGAUGGAUUUGAGUAAGAGCGUAAAUGUGGGGACCCGAAAGAUGGUGAACUAUGCCUGAAUAGGGCGAAGCCAGAGGAAACUCUGGUGGAGGCUCGCAGCGGUUCUGACGUGCAAAUCGAUCGUCAAAUUUGGGUAUAGGGGCGAAAGACUAAUCGAACCAUCUAGUAGCUGGUUCCUGCCGA